AAUUAUUACAGAGAUUUUUCUCAAUCAAAUAAUGAGUUUAUAUAUUGUCAAUUACGUAUUUUGAAUCAACCGAAGUGAUAAUUAAACGUCCGUACAUAGCUCAAGUUGCCAAACUUGACCAGAAAGGUGGACCCAUUUUCUACCAAAUAGGUGAUGGAAUGGAGAGCGCAUUGGUGGCCGAAGCAUCUGCCAAAAUACCCUAAAACGCAUUUUGGAGGCCCAACGAACGCCUAUUGGAACCGGGGAAGCAACCUUUGACAAAACCAGACUAGCCGAAAAUCUGAUGCAACUAGCAAGACCAGAGCUGUCUCUUUUAGCCCCAUUGGAGAAUCAAAAAACUAUUAUACACAGUAUUGUUUAAGGAUUUAGAUGAAAGAUUUUGCGAUCAAGUGAAAUUUAAUUCUUCGUAUGUUUAUGAUAUAUAAUUAAAUAUGAGACGUGAUUCAUUCAUUACACUCUAGUAUACUAGUGACACUUCUAAACUAUUUAUGCUAUAAGGUCACAACCCUACAAAAAGUACAAGGUAUAAAUUCUUAUAUGUUGAUUAUAAACAAAUAUUUAUGAUCAAAAUAUAAGUUAUGUCACCAGGGACGGAUCCAGCCCAUCGAGUGAGCUAGGGUGAAGGCGCCGGAGUGUCGAGUAGUCAUCAAACGACCGUUAAAUAUAGCGAGAUUGUUUACUAGUAUUUAAUUGAUUUACAUUAAAAG
rnacentral:lncRNA from 1 species